GUCACGCUGAAUUGGGAAAACAGGUCUAUUUAUCACCUUAUGGACCUUAACUCUUUACUAGUCAGMACGUUGAAGCACAACAAACGAAGAUACUCCAUGACUACACAGAAACCAAGCUUGGGCUACCUGUGGUUGGAAUGUUGGCAUGUAUUCCUUAUUUAGUUUGUUGUCGUUUGUCUAUACAAUACAAGUAAUAUAUCUCUGGUUCAUCAACUAUUGUCACAGGGCUUAGAGAGACAUGUCAGUGCAUGCAAACUUGCAAAUCGAGGUCCCUUUCCUAUGGUCUUAUUGAACAUGUUAUGGCGUCAGCAUAUGAUCCAAACUCAAGUGGAACCAUGAGAGUCAUGAGCACAGCUCAGUGAUCAUCAGUGAACGUUCACCAAGAUGAAYUAGCACACCUUAUGAUAUAAAGACGAUCAUCUUUACCUGUAGU